GCAUAUCAAUAAGCGGAGGAAAAGAAACCAACAGGGAUUGCCUCAGUAACGGCGAGUGAAGCGGCAACAGCUCAAAUUUGAAAUCUGGCCUCACGGUCCGAGUUGUAAUUUGUAGAGGAUGCUUUUGGCGAGGUGCUUUCCGAGUUCCCUGGAACGGGACGCCAUAGAGGGUGAGAGCCCCGUACGGUAAGACCACCGAGCCUCUGUAAAGCUCCUUCGACGAGUCGAGUAGUUUGGGAAUGCUGCUCUAAAUGGGAGGUGUACGUCUUCUAAAGCUAAAUACCGGCCAGAGACCGAUAGCGCACAAGUAGAGUGAUCGAAAGAUGAAAAGCACUUUGAAAAGAGGGUUAAAAAGUACGUGAAAUUGUUGAAAGGGAAGCAUUCAUGACCAGACUUGGGCUUGGUUGAACAUCCGGCGUUCUCGCCGGUGCACUCUGCCAGUCCAGGCCAGCAUCAGUUUGCCCCGGGGGACAAAGGCGGUGGGAAUGUGGCUCUCUUCGGGGAGUGUUAUAGCCCGCCGUGUAAUGCCCUGGGGCGGACUGAGGAACGCGCUUCGGCACGGAUGCUGGCGUAAUGGUCAUCAAUGACCCGUCUUGAAACACGGACCAAGGAGUCGUCUUCGUAUGCGAGUGUUCGGGUGUCAAACCCCUACGCGUAAUGAAAGUGAACGUAGGUGAGAGCUUCGGCGCAUCACCGACCGAUCCUGAUGUUCUCGGAUGGAUUUGAGUAAGAGCAUACGGGGCCGGACCCGAAAGAAGGUGAACUAUGCCUGUAUAGGGUGAAGCCAGAGGAAACUCUGGUGGAGGCUCGCAGCGGUUCUGACGUGCAAAUCGAUCGUCAAAUAUGGGCAUGGGGGGCGAAAGACUAAUCGAACCUUCUAGUAGCUGGGUUUCCGCCGAG
rnacentral:rRNA from 1 species